rnacentral:rRNA from 1 species
UACGUAGGGGGCAAGCGUUAUCCGGAAUUACUGGGUGUAAAGGGAGCGUAGACGGUAAUGUAAGUCUGGAGUGAAAGGCGGGGGCCCAACCCCCGGACUGCUCUGGAAACUAUGUUACUAGAGUGCAGGAGGGGUAAGCGGAAUUCCUAGUGUAGCGGUGAAAUGCGUAGAUAUAUGGAGGAACACCGGUGGCGAAAGCGGCUCUCUGGCCUGUAACUGACACUGAGGCUCGAAAGCGUGGGGAGCAAACAGG